AUAAAACAUGAAAUAAAGUAAAACAAUCACAGAAUAAUGUUACGAUUUUCGGUACAAGCUAUACUGAGCUGAUUAUUAUAAGGGAAAGUGUUGUCUGUCGUAUUCACUUGGAUACGGUUGAACCAUGUAAACAAUACUCUUUGUGUGUAAAAUUUGGGAUAUUUUCUGUGUUUGAAGAGUUCUCGCUGUGCGCUGGUCGGCCAUCUUGAAAAAUAAAUUGUGAAGGUCGUAUUUCCAGCUUUCCUGCGAGACGGCAGUUCAGAUGCAGUCGUCCUGUGUGUCAGAAAGCUGGUGAUCAAAAUGGUUGAAGGCAGUACCCAAGAAAGUACAUUUACAAAGUUGUGAGGAGUAACCUAGCCUAUAUAACCUGAAGCUCACCCAAUAUGCAGUGUGUUCUGCUU